GACGAACGCUGGCGGCGUGCUUAACACAUGCAAGUCGAACGGAAAGGCCCUGCUUUUGUGGGGUGCUCGAGUGGCGAACGGGUGAGUAACACGUGAGUAACCUGCCCUUGACUUUGGGAUAACUUCAGGAAACUGGGGCUAAUACCGGAUAGGAGCUCCUGCUGCAUGGUGUGGGUUGGAAAGUUUCGGCGGUUGGGGAUGGUCUCGCGGCUUAUCAGCUUGUUGGUGGGGUAGUUGCUUACCAAGGCUGUGACGGGUAGCCGGCCUGGGAGGGUGACCGGGCACAAGGGGCCUACGAGACGGCCCAGAAUCCUACGGGAGGCAGCAGUGGGGAAUAUUGCACAAUGGGCGGAAGCCUGAGGCAGCAGCGCCGGGUGCGGGAUGACGGGCUUCGGGGUAUAAACCGCUUUCGCAUGUGACGAAGCGUGAGUGACGGUAAUUGGUAAAGAAGCACCGGCUAACUACGUG
rnacentral:rRNA from 1 species